GAUGUCGCGCAGUGGAAGUGCAACUGCCUGCAACGCAGAAGGUUCAGAGUUCGAUUCUCGGUGGAUCA